GACGAACGCUGGCGGCGUGCUUAACACAUGCAAGUCGAACGGAAAGGCCCUGCUUGCAGGGUACUCGAGUUGCGAACGGGUGAGUAACACGUGGGUGAUCUGCCCUGCACUUCGGGAUAAGCCUGGGAAACUGGGUCUAAUACCGGCUAGGAGCCAUUUUUAGUGUGAUGGUUGGAAAGUUUUUUCGGUGUAGGAUGAGCUCGCGGCCUAUCAGCUUGUUGGUGGGGUAAUGGCCUACCAAGGCGGCGACGGGUAGCCGGCCUGAGAGGGUGGACGGCCACAUUGGGACUGAGAUACGGCCCAGACUCCUACGGGAGGCAGCAGUGGGGAAUAUUGCACAAUGGGCGCAAGCCUGAUGCAGCGACGCCGCGUGGGGGAUGACGGCCUUCGGGUUGUAAACUCCUUUCGCUAGGGACGAAGCUUUUUGUGACGGUACCUAGAUAAGAAGCACCGGCUAACUACGU
rnacentral:rRNA from 1 species